UACGUAGGGGGCGAGCGUUAUCCAGAUUUACUGGGCGUAAAGCGCGUGUAGGCGGCUGGUUAGGUGUGAUGUGAAAUCCUCGGGCUCAACCCGAGAACUGCAUUGCAAACCGGCCUGGCUAGAGUGCAGGAGAGGGAAGCGGAAUUCCAGGUGUAGCGGUGAAAUGCGUAGAUAUCUGGAGGAACACCGGUGGCGAAGGCGGCAUCCUGGACCAUUACUGACACUGAAUAGCGAAAGCCAGGGGAGCAAACGGG
rnacentral:rRNA from 1 species